rfam:Metagenome sequence 3634298_fasta.screen.Contig5294, whole genome shotgun sequence.
GUAGUUGUUCUUGUGUGCAUCGGUUUUGUUUGAAGCAUUAGCUUAGAAACUGAUCCUAAUAGACACUCGCUUUGCCACAUUAAGCCUUUGAGAACCAAGGCUAAUUGUGAAACGCUCACUCGGUU